rnacentral:rRNA from 1 species
UACGUAGGGUGCAAGCGUUGUCCGGAAUUAUUGGGCGUAAAGAGCUCGUAGGCGGUCUGUCACGUCGGCUGUGAAAUCCCGAGGCUCAACCUCGGGUCUGCAGUCGAUACGGGCAAACUAGAGUAUUGCAGGGGAGACUGGAAUUCCUGGUGUAGCGGUGAAAUGCGCAGGUAUCAGGAGGAACACCGGUGGCGAAGGCGGGGUCUCUGGGCCGAUACUGACGCUGGAGGAGCGAAAGCGUGGGGAGCAAACAGG